UUUUUUUUUUUUUUUUUAAUGGAGUCUUGCUCUGUCACCCAGGCUGGAGUGCAGUGGCACGAUCUCAGCUCACUGCAACCUCCACAUCCUGGGUUCACAUCAUUCUUCUGCCUCAGCCUCCAGAGUAGCUGGGACUGCAGGUACCAGCCACCAUGCCUGGCUAAUUUUUUUGUAUUCUUAGUAGAGACAGGAUUUCACCGUGUUAGCCAGGAUGGUCUUGAUCUCUUGAUCUCGUGAUCUGCCUGCCUCAGCCUCCCAAAGUGCUGGGAUUACAGGCAUGAGCCACCGCACCCAGCCUCCAGGCAAAAUUUUGAAUGUGCAGUUGGCUUCUGAUAUGGUUUGUCUGUGUCCCCACCUAAGAAUGUCCCUUCAUCUUGAAUUGUAACUCCCACAAUUCCCACAUGUUGCAGGAGGAACCUGGUGGGAGGUAAUUGAAUUAUGGGGCAGAUCUUUCCUGUGCUGUUCUCGUGAUAGUGAAUACGUCUCAUGAGAUCUGAGGGUUUUAAAAACAGGAGUUUUCUUGCACAAGCUCUCUUCUUUUGUCUGCUGCCAUGUGAGAUGUGCCUUUCACCUUCUACCAGGAUUGUGAAGCCACCCCAGCCAUGUGGAACUGUAAGUCCAUUAAAAUUCUUUCUUUUUUUGCAAAUUGCCCAGUCUUGGGUAUGUCUUUAUCAGCAGCAUGAAAACAGACUAAUUGGUACCAGUAGAGUGCAGCGCUGCUGAAAAGAUACCCAAAAAUGUGGAAGUGACUUUGGAACUGGGUAACAGGCAGAGGUUGGAAGAGUUUGGAGGGCUCAGAAGAAGACAGGAAAAUGUGAGAACGUUUGGAACUUCCUAGAGACUUGUUGAAUGGCCUUGCCAAAAAUGCUGAUAGCAAUAUGGACAGGCUGAAGUGGUCUCAGAUGGAAAUGAGGAACUUGUUAGGAACAAGAGCAAAGGUGACUCUUGUUAUGCUUCAGCAAAGAGACUGGUGGCAUUUUGCCCCGCUCUAGACAGUUGUGAAACUUUGAACUUGAGAGAGAUGAUUUAGGGUAUCUGGCAGAAGAAAUUUCAAAGCAGCAAAACAUUUAAAAGGUGAUUUGUGUGCUGUUGAAGGCAUUCAGUUUUAUAAGGGAAGCAGAGCAUAAAAGUUCAGAAAAUUUGUAGCCUGACAAUUCGAUAGAAAAGAAAACCCCAUUUUCAGAGGGGAAAUUCAAGCUGGCUGCAGAAAUUUGCAUAAGUAACUAUGAGCCAAAUGUUAAUCCCCAAGACAAUGGGGAAAAGGUCUCCAGGGUGUGUCAGAGGUCUUCAUGGCAGCCCCUCCCAUCACUGGCCUGGAGGCCUAGGAGGAAUAAGUGGUUUCAUGGGUGGGUCCCAAGAUACCUGUGCUGUGUCCAGCCUAGGCUGUGGCUCAGGCUGUGGCUUCAGAGGGUGCAAGCCUCAAGCCCUGGCAGCUUUCAUGUGGUGUUGAGCCUGCCAAUGCAAAGAAGUCAAGAAUUGGGGUUUGGGAACCUCUGCCCAGAUUCCAGAGGAUGUAUGGAAACACCUGGAUGUCCAGGCAGAAGUUUGCUGCAGGGGCAGGGAUCUCAUGGGGAACCUCUGCUAGGGCAGUGCAGAAGGGAAUUGUGGUC
rnacentral:lncRNA from 1 species